rnacentral:piRNA from 1 species
CAAAAGAGGAGGAUAGCCCAGAAG